rnacentral:rRNA from 11 species
GAUGGGGGGACCAUCCUCCAAGGCUAAAUACUACUGACUGACCGAUAGUGAACUAGUACCGUGAGGGAAAGGCGAAAAGAACCCCUGUGAGGGGAGUGAAAUAGAACCUGAAACCGUAUACGUACAAGCAGUGGGAGCCCUUCGGGGUGACUGCGUACCUUUUGUAUAAUGGGUCAGCGACUUAUAUUUAGUAGCAAGGUUAAGUGAAUAACGGAGCCGUAGCGAAAGCGAGUGUUAACUGCGCGUUUAGUUGCUAGGUAUAGACCCGAAACCCGGUGAUCUAGCCAUGGGCAGGUUGAAGGUUGAGUAACAUCAACUGGAGGACCGAACCCACUAACGUUGAAAAGUUAGGGGAUGACCUGUGGCUGGGGGUGAAAGGCCAAUCAAACCGGGAGAUAGCUGGUUCUCCCCGAAAUCUAUUUAGGUAGAGCCUCGGACGAAUUCCAUUGGGGGUAGAGCACUGUUAAGGCUAGGGGGUCAUCCCGACUUACCAACCCUUUGCAAACUCCGAAUACCAAUGAGAACUAUCCGGGAGACACACGGCGGGUGCUAACGUCCGUCGUGGAGAGGGAAACAACCCUGACCUCCAGCUAAGGCCCCCAAUUCAUGGCUAAGUGGGAAAGCAGGUGGGACGACCAAAACAACCAGGAGGUUGGCUUAGAAGCAGCCACCCUUUAAAGAUAGCGUAACAGCUCACUGGUCUAAUUUAAGUUGUCCUGCGGCGAAGAUGUAACGGGGCUCAAGCCAUGAGCCGAAGCUGAGGAUGCACGUAAGUGCGUGGUAGCGGAGCGUAGUG